ACCAUGCAGCGUUCUUUUGCUUAAUGCCGAAUGUACACUUUUUUUUAAUUAAUUUCAAAUUAAUAGCAUGACAGCCCAAUAAUACUGGAUCCUUUGUUAGACUGAAGGAAAACGAAAUAUACGUUUAAGUUGAUAUUUGAAAGAUGACUCAUGAAAAUCUCGCUUAGCAGAGGGGAAAGACAAGAACCCAUAGCCAAAUCUGAGACCUGCCUGAAAAUUUUAUUGCCAAACUGGAAAAAAUUUUGGUUGAUCACUAUAUCGAGAGAGUUCUCACUAACUUUAAACAAUCUUUGGGAGGGAAGCUGGGAAAAAGAUUUCUUACAUCUAAGGAAAUAAGUUUAGACCCAUGAGGGAUAAUAAGAUUUUUCAAACUGUUGGUUAGAUCAACAGAAUUCUUAGUCGAAUAAAUACUUUUACACCGUCGUAGCGGUGCUUAUGAAAAUUGAUAGUUUACUCAACACAUCAUUCAAAAAUGGAAGUAUUAUUAUAACUUCUAUUAGAUGCAUUUUCUCAAUGCAAAAAAUUCCUUUUAACUGAUUCUGUUAUGUUGGCACAAUUAAUAAAAUUAUGUGAAAUUGAA